CCCAAAUCCCUGUCUCCUGCCCGCAGCCAAACGGAAGGCUGGGCAGCCAGGACCGCUUACUGCUUGGGGGCUGGAGAUGGAAGCCGAGGCUCUAAUUCCUCUACCCACUUCCUAGGAGGCUCUGCUAUCCCUCCGGUCCCAGUACCCGAGCUGGGGGACCUAAAUACUUCCGAGACGCCCGAGUCCUGCUCCGACGUGGUUGGGCUUUCCCAUUCUUUCGAGAAGACAGGGAAUUUGGGCUUCCGGGCUGGCCGGGAGAACAGAUUUUACAGACAUGCGGGGUGUGACAAGCUCUCUAACUGGAGAAUGAACAUUUCACACUUUUACCAGUUUUACACCCAAUUGGAAUGAUUUUAUUAGUGCCCAUUUCCCGUGCUAGGCUGGGGUCUCCACCAAGGCAGAGAGGUACCAUGUAUCCGGGGAGCCUGCGACACCCUUGACACUUAGUAGAUGAUCAAUAAGUACUUGUCGAAUGAGUAAAUGAAUGAACCAGGGCUCCCCAGGUCAGGACUGUGUCCCUAAACCUAAAGGGCAAGGCCACGUGCCCCCUUGACUCCCAAUAGCAGGGCCAUGUCUUCACCUGAGACCCUGGAGAGUAGUGCUGG
rnacentral:lncRNA from 1 species